UUGCAUAUAGGAGAAGAGCGCCUCGAGGUCAUUCAGGAGGACGCGAUGUAGCUGCAGAUGACCUCGCAUGUGGAGUAGGAUCCAUAGACGUAUCAGGUUUCAAGUCGUAUACUAGAUUCUAUUAUCCACAGUUACAGACAACAUAUGACCCAUAUAGAUACGGAUAUAGAUAUGGUGCGUCUGAGGCAUCUUCUGACGGCUACUACCCUACAUAGCCUAGAGUAUCUUACGGGUCGGAUUUUGUUGCCGGUAUAUUCGGAUAGGCCCCUCUACAGCCGUAUUAUCAGCCAGAGGACACCUUUCAGAGCCAAAGCUUCAGCGAGAGAUCAUAGAGUGCUUAUAACCCGGUGUGCUUCCUUAUGGGAUGAACGUACAAAACUACAAUGCCGCUUCGUUAAAGGGGUGGGAUGAUGUGCCUCCUGACUAUGCUAAUGAUCCGGAUAUCUACGAAAGGCAUUACUACUUGAUCCGAUUUUAGAUAUCGGUAUGUUUGUUGAACUUUAAAAGUAUAUAAUUAAUCAUAUUAUUUUUUAAUUUUUACGUCACUAUGUUGGUCAUUUUAUGAUUUGUAUCAUUUUAAAGCAAUUAGAUGAAUCAUCUAUGUUAAACCUGGAUCAUAGAAAUAUAAAAAAAACAUCAAAAAAAUAUUUAAAAAAAUAUCAAAUUAGACUUAAAUUCAUAGAAAAAGUUUGAAAAGAGUG
rnacentral:lncRNA from 1 species